rnacentral:rRNA from 1 species
GCGACUAAGCGUACACGGUGGAUGCCCUGGCAGUCAGAGGCGAUGAAGGGCGUACUAAUCUGCGAUAAGCGCCGGUAAGGUGAUAUGAACCGUUAUAACCGGCGAUACCCGAAUGGGGAAACCCAGUGUGAUUCGUCACACUAUCAUUAACUGAAUCCAUAGGUUAAUGAGGCGAACCGGGGGAACUGAAACAUCUAAGUACCCCGAGGAAAAGAAAUCAACCGAGAUUCCCCCAGUAGCGGCGAGCGAACGGGGAGGAGCCCAGAGCCUGAAUCAGCAUGUGUGUUAGUGGAAGCGUCUGGAAAGGCGCGCGAUACAGGGUGACAGCCCCGUACACAAAAGCGCAUGUGCUGUGAGCUCGAUGAGUAGGGCGGGACACGUGGUAUCCUGUCUGAAUAUGGGGGGACCAUCCUCCAAGGCUAAAUACUCCUGACUGACCGAUAGUGAACCAGUACCGUGAGGGAAAGGCGAAAAGAACCCCGGCGAGGGGAGUGAAAAAGAACCUGAAACCGUGU